CUAAUGAUAAAUUGGCUUGUAUGUUUUAGGCAACACGAGUGAGGCGUCGGGAAGUCAAGCCGGUGCGGACGCUCGCCAAAAGGGAAAGCUCUAAGGCAACACGAGUGAGGCGUCGGGAAGUCAAGCCGGUGCGGACGCUCGCCAAAAGGGAAAGCUCUAAGCUUUCAAGUAAGUCAAUCAAGCGGAUGGUGAUCAACACAAGACUUAUGAACCGAACACACUCAAGAAGAUGAUCUUCACUUUUGUCUUAGAAGUUCAUUUGU